rnacentral:rRNA from 1 species
GUAGUCAUAUGCUUGUCUCAAAGAUUAAGCCAUGCAUGUCUAAGUAUACGCAAAUUAUACUGUGAAACUGCGAAUGGCUCAUUAAAUCAGUUAUAGUUUAUUUGAUGUUUCUUGCUACAUGGAUAACUGUGGUAAUUCUAGAGCUAAUACAUGCGUAAAAAGCCCCGACUUCUGGAAGGGGUGUAUUUAUUAGAUAAAAACCAUCCUCCUCGGAGUUUGGUGAUUCAUAAUAACUUCUCGAAUCGCACGGCCUUGUGCUGGCGAUGCUUCAUUCAAAUACCUGCCCUAUCAACUGUCGACGGUAGGAUAGAGGCCUACCAUGGUUGCAACGGGUAACGGGGAAUA